UACAGAGGGGGCAAGCGUUGUUCGGAAUUACUGGGCGUAAAGGGCGCGUAGGCGGCCUUCUAAGUCGAACGUGAAAUCCCCGGGCUCAACCCGGGAACUGCGUCCGAUACUGGAAGGCUUGAAUCCGGGAGAGGGAUGUGGAAUUCCAGGUGUAGCGGUGAAAUGCGUAGAUAUCGGGAAGAACGCCCGUGGCGAAGGCGGCUCUCUGGGACGGUACUGACGCUGAGACGCGAAAGCGUGGGGAGCGAACAGG
rnacentral:rRNA from 1 species